rnacentral:snRNA from 1 species
GGAUGUGAGGGCGAUCUGGCUGCGACAUCUGUCACCCCAUUGAUCGCCAGGGUUGAUUCAGCUGAUCUGGCUGGCUAGGCGGGUGUUCCCUUCCUCCAUCACCGCUCCAUGUGCUUCCCUCCCAAAGCUGUGUGCUCGGUUGAAGAGGAUGAGCUUCCCCAAUAGAAGGAGGACCCCUCCUUCGGUCAAGGGUAUAUGUGUAGCUUUGCUUCCCUGCUAGAACCUCCAAACAAGUCUCCGACAUUGAUGUUAAGGUCACAUAUAAUACUCUUGUGACAAAUAUUAUU